rnacentral:rRNA from 1 species
CCCUUAGAUGUUCUGGGCUGCACGCGCGCUACACUGAUGCGCUCAACGAGUUUAUGACCUUGCCCGGAAGGGUUGGGUAAUCUUUUCAAAACGCAUCGUGAUGGGGAUAGAUUAUUGCAAUUAUUAAUCUUCAACGAGGAAUUCCUAGUAAGCGCGAGUCAUCAGCUCGUGCUGAUUACGUCCCUGCCCUUUGUACACACCGCCCGUCGCUCCUACCGAUGGAGUGAUCCGGUGAAUAAUUCGGACUGCAGCAAUGUUCAGCUCCUGAAUGUUGCAGCGGAAAGUUUAGUGAACCUUAUCACUUAGAGGAAGGAGAAGUCGUAACA